UGGCCGCAGUGUUAUAAGCUGUGCGAAGGUAGCAUAAUAAUUUUCUUUUUAAAUGGAAGGUAGUAUGAAAGGGAUCGACUAGAUUUUGCUGUGUUGGUGUAGAUAUAGAAUUUUAUAAGGGGGUUAAAAAUCCCUCUGGAUUUAAAGGGACGACAAGACCCUGGGAGCUUAUAAAUAAUAUUAAGGAUAAUUUAUUUAACUGGGGCGGUUUAUAAUAAAAACAUUAUAAUAAUAAACAUAUGUGUGGAAAUAAUGAUCAUUGAUUGGGCAUAGAGAUAAAGCUACCCCAGGGAUAACAGCGUAAUUAUUUUAGAGAAAAAUUGAAGAAAUAGUUUGCGACCUCGAUGUUGAAUUAAGAGUAUCCUCUUGAAAGAGAGAGCCUGGAGGGAGAGUUUGUUCAACUUUUAAAAACUUACAUGAUCUGAGUUCAUACCGGAGGGA
rnacentral:rRNA from 1 species